AAAACGGCCCUUUUCAGGGCCACAUUCGCAAUCGGCCCUUUUCAGG
rfam:Trachymyrmex zeteki contig11502, whole genome shotgun sequence.